rnacentral:lncRNA from 1 species
AGGAGGAGAGGAAGAGGAGGAUGAGGAUGGUUAGGGUGACGGGGAGGAGGAGCAGCCGAGGCAGGCGGUGGCGCGCCAUUGCGGGACGGGGGUCCGGCCGGCGAUCCCCCGGCGGCGAGGCGGAUGAGACGAGGGAAGAAAAUAAAUUUCUGUUCUUUUUUUCCCCGCUCGGCAGAGCUUUCCCUUUCUCAAAAAUUGUUCAGAUGUACUCCUAGUCUAGCAGGAAAAAUUAGAUCUUAACCCACAUUUUACUUUUC